rnacentral:rRNA from 1 species
UUUAUUGGAGAGUUUGAUCCUGGCUCAGGAUGAACGCUGGCGGCGUGCCUAAUACAUGCAAGUCGAGCGAAUGGAUUAAGAGCUUGCUCUUAUGAAGUUAGCGGCGGACGGGUGAGUAACACGUGGGUAACCUGCCCAUAAGACUGGGAUAACUCCGGGAAACCGGGGCUAAUACCGGAUAACAUUUUGAACCGCAUGGUUCGAAAUUGAAAGGCGGCUUCGGCUGUCACUUAUGGAUGGACCCGCGUCGCAUUAGCUAGUUGGUGAGGUAACGGCUCACCAAGGCAACGAUGCGUAGCCGACCUGAGAGGGUGAUCGGCCACACUGGGACUGAGACACGGCCCAGACUCCUACGGGAGGCAGCAGUAGGGAAUCUUCCGCAAUGGACGAAAGUCUGACGGAGCAACGCCGCGUGAGUGAUGAAGGCUUUCGGGUCGUAAAACUCUGUUGUUAGGGAAGAACAAGUGCUAGUUGAAUAAGCUGGCACCUUGACGGUACCUAACCAGAAAGCCACGGCUAACUACGUGCCAGCAGCCGCGGUAAUACGUAGGUGGCAAGCGUUAUCCGGAAUUAUUGGGCGUAAAGCGCGCGCAGGUGGUUUCUUAAGUCUGAUGUGAAAGCCCACGGCUCAACCGUGGAGGGUCAUUGGAAACUGGGAGACUUGAGUGCAGAAGAGGAAAGUGGAAUUCCAUGUGUAGCGGUGAAAUGCGUAGAGAUAUGGAGGAACACCAGUGGCGAAGGCGACUUUCUGGUCUGUAACUGACACUGAGG